rnacentral:tRNA from 1 species
ACGGGACUGGACGACGGCCUGCAGGACGCGGGCUUCGGGCGUCCGCUCGGGACCAGACGGGCAGGACCGUUCGGAGUCGGUGUCGCGCC